AACGAACGCUGGCGGCAUGCCUAACACAUGCAAGUCGAACGAGACCUUCGGAACUAGUUGCGCACGGGUGCGUAACGCGUGGGAAGCUUCCCGUAGGUUCCGAAUACCACCUCGACAUGGGUGCUAAUACCGGAAAAUGUCUUCUAACCAAGCAUUUAUCGCCCUAGGAUGGGCCCGGGUUGGUCUAGCUUGUUGGUAGGGUAAAAGCCUAUCAAGGCGACGAUCCAUAGCUGGUUUGAGAGGAAGAGCAGCCACACUGGGACGGAGACACGGCACAGACUCUUACGGGAGGCAGCAGUGGGGAAUAUUGGACAAUCGGCGAGAGCAUGAUCGAGCUAUGCCGCGUGAGUGAUGAUGGCCUUAGGGUUGUAAAGCUCUUUUACCCGGGAUGAUAAUGACAGUACCGGGAGAAUAAGCUCCGGCUAACUCCGUG
rnacentral:rRNA from 1 species